ACGGGAGGCAGCAGUGGGGAAUAUUGGGCAAUGGGCGCAAGCCUGACCCAGCAACGCCGCGUGAAGGAAGAAGGCUUUCGGGUUGUAAACUUCUUUUAAGGGGGAAGAGCAGAAGACGGUACCCCUAGAAUAAGCCACGGCUAACUACGUGCCAGCAGCCGCGGUAAUACGUAGGUGGCAAGCGUUGUCCGGAUUUACUGGGUGUAAAGGGCGUGCAGCCGGGAAGGCAAGUCAGAUGUGAAAUCCACGGGCUUAACUCGUGAACUGCAUUUGAAACUGUUUUUCUUGAGUGUCGGAGGGGCAAUCGGAAUUCCUAGUGUAGCGGUGAAAUGCGUAGAUAUUAGGAGGAACACCAGUGGCGAAGGCGGAUUGCUGGACGAUAACUGACGGUGAGGCGCGAAAGUGUGGGGAGCAAACAGGAUUAGAUACCCUGGUA
rnacentral:rRNA from 2 species